GCGUGUGCAUCUCGAACUUGCAUUCAUCAAAAUCAAGGGUAGGAUCCUCCUUGAUCCAUGUCGGGUGCAUCCAGAAGCCGAGUGUCGGGCGCAACCCCGACGCUCUACGGAUUGACAGGCUGGCAAUCGGGUGGGCGCUGGACCUGACCCCUCGCCACGUCGCCGGGAGGACUCUUGGCUCACCAAAGUGGCGAAAGCACUGCCGAGGUAGCAAACGGGCGGCGAGCCAUUUUGGCCGGCGGCUUAGUGCGCCUUGAGCAGCAGGCGCCCAACUGAUGCACCAUAGCUGAUCGACAUACAUUGCCUUAGCCACCCCCUGCGCUCAGGGUGUUUGAUGAAAUGACGCUUGAGGUUGUGUAGCUGAAGAGCAGGUUCCAUCACACCAGAAAUUUGCCAGGCGAUCGUCCCCAUGGUUCAUCUGCAGACUCCCUCUGUAAUAGGAUAUCUUGUUUCCAGUUUCUACACAAGAUCCUCCCAGAGUGGAAAAGCUCAAUGGAAUUCUACACUGUUUAUAGGAGACUAGAUGGUUGAGUUGACCAUUAUGCCUCCGCUGGAGCAAUGCUUUGGAUAUUGCCGGGUGUUACGAUUGUUUUUUUACAACUUCAUCAUUUAUGCCCCGUCAGUCACAAUAGGAGCUGCCAAUACAUUUAUUACGGUCAGUAGUAUCGGCAAUGGAAGGCAAUUUAGUAGAAGAAGAUCCAAACGGUCGUGCUUUUAUGUGUGGCUCAUUAAUAAUCAUGUGGCAUGCCUUAAUGCCUUUGAAGCACCAAAGAUGAGGGAGAAUCCCGCGAAGACCUCUAGUGGAGGCAGAGCGUCUUCUUGAGUACUAAUUCUUGCUGGUAGAACUUGCACUGCAGAUCAUCACUCAUGUACAUGUUCCAUGGAGCUAUUAACAACCUGCCACGUGGGAAAACAAAUUCAGACAGACAUGAUCGAUUGGUUCCCUUAUACUCCCUCUGUAAAGAAAUAUAAGAGCGUUUAGAUCACUAAAACUUUACGGAGGGAGUAAUAUAUAGUCUGGAUAAAUGUUAGAGGGCCAACAUAGAAGGCAGAAGGGUACUCGGCAAGAUUUUGAGUAUAAAUUAGAAGUAGCACAGAAGUUGAAACCUACUAAUAGUCAUACCUCAUACGUAGCUGUAUAAAUUCAUCACCUUGUUCCUGUAAAUGUAGCUUAAUCACAUUGUUACAAAUACAGUGUGGUGUUUA